GGCUGAUAAUAAAAUAAACGGCGCCAGCGAACAGAAUCAUUUCGACCUGAGUACCGUCACGCUCGCCGAUAGUCGACGCGGUGCGGAAGAAGUCCGCCAGGCUGAGUACAUAAACUAAAGAGGUGUCGUGGAUCAGAAUGCCACGGUGAAUACGUUCCCGGGCCUUGUACACACCGCCCGUCACACCAUGGGAGUGGGUUGCAAAAGAAGUAGGUAGCUUAACCUUCGGGAGGGCGCUUACCACUUUGUGAU
rnacentral:rRNA from 1 species